rnacentral:tRNA from 1 species
GGAGACGUGGCCGAGUGGCUUAAGGCAUCCAUUUGCUAAAUGGACUUCUUCCUUCGGAAGAACAUAGGUUCGAAUCCUGUCGUUUCCG